rnacentral:lncRNA from 1 species
CACGGCAGAGCUUAGAACAUACAUUUCACUGCAAUAAAUGCGAGUUAGAAGUAUGCAUUUGUAGAGUACCUAACUAUUAAAUGCAAGUGGGACCCAUUUUUUCAUUCCCAUCCCAACCAAUUGUGUUGUGUGCCUUUGGGUAUGUCUGCUUCAUCAACGUUCAACAUUUAACUAUGUGAUGUCCUCAUGAUGCAACCAUCUAAUCAUCUAAUUAAUGUUAUACACC